GGAGUCGGCCAGGCGAUCGCUGCAUUUCUAACCAGAUGUAGAGGAAAGUCCGGGCUCCUUCGGAUACGGCGCCAGGUAACACCUGGGGGGCGCGAGCCCACGGAAAGUGCAACAGAAAGAUACCGCCGACGCGCGAACUCCCCUCGUGGGAGGGAUCGCAGGUAAGGGUGAAAUGGUGCGGUAAGAGCGCACCGCGCAGGUGGUAACACCUGUGGCACGGCAAACCCCGCCGGGAGCAAGGCCAAAUAGGGAAGUCGCAGGGAAACCUGCAGCGCGGUGUCCGAGCGUGACUUUCGGGUAGGCUGCUUGAGGCAUUCGGUGACGAAUGUCCCAGAGGAAUGAUCGUCCACGACAGAACCCGGCUUAUCGGCCGACUCCCCCU
rnacentral:RNase_P_RNA from 1 species